rnacentral:rRNA from 1 species
GCUUAGAGUUUGAUCCUGGCUCAGAAUGAACGUUGGCGGCGUGGAUUAGGCAUGCAAGUCGUGCGAGAAGCUCCCUUCGGGGAGUGGACAGCGGCGAAAGGGAGAGUAAUGCGUGGAUACCUACCCUGGGGUCCGGGAUAGCCGUGGGAAACCGCGGGUAAUACCGGAUAACGUCUCCGGACCAAAGCUCCGGCGCCCCUGGACGGGUUCACGUCCUACUAGCUUGUUGGUGGGGUAACGGCCUACCAAGGCUGCGAUGGGUACCGGGCGUGAGAGCGUGACCCGGCUCACUGGGACUGAGACACUGCCCAGACACCUACGGGUGGCUGCAGUCGAGAAUCUUCGGCAAUGGGCGCAAGCCUGACCGAGCGACGCCGCGUGCGGGAUGAAGGCCUUCGGGUUGUAAACCGCUUUCGGGGAGGAGCAAAUUUUGAGCGAUUCCCUAAAGAAGGACGGGCUAAGUUCGUGCCAGCAGCCGCGGUAAGACGAACCGUCCAAACGUUAUUCGGAAUCACUGGGCUUAAAGGGUGCGUAGGCGGCCACGUCAGUCGGGUGUGAAAUCCCUCAGCUCAACUGAGGAACUGCGCUCGAUACUGCGUGGCUAGAGGAAGGCAGAGGUGUGCGGAACUUGCAGUGGAGCGGUGAAAUGCGUUGAUAUUGCAAGGAACACCAGUGGCGAAAGCGGCGCACUGGGCCUUUUCUGACGCUGAGGCACGAAAGCUAGGGGAGCGAACGGGAUUAGAUACCCCGGUAGUCCUAGCUGUAAACGUUGAGCACUAGAUCGGAG